CUCAAGAUGAGUACUCUCACUCUGUUAAGGAGGUAAGGUCACAGCGAGAACAGCUGUUGAUAGGCGUUAGGUGGAAGUUUAGUAAUAGAUGAAGCCGAGACGUACUAACUGACCGAGGGCUUGACCAC
rnacentral:rRNA from 1 species